ACUGGUGUUGAUGAUGACUGAUUUUUUCCCCGGCAGAUCGACCCUGUUGACUGCCUGUGUAUUUUAAGCCAAACUUCUCUGAUUCACCAGC